rnacentral:lncRNA from 1 species
GCAACUACUAUGCAGCCAAUGCCGGAUGUGCACCUUGAAUCUCCAUCAUCAACUUUUGAGCGCACUCUCUCUAAUGACAUCCUAGUCGAUCUAGGAUGCAUCUCCAAAUACAGCCUCCAAUGCUCUCUUGCGCUUAAUAUCACCGCCAACAUAAUUGGCUAUGCUCAAUAUGCAAUCACUCCUUCUUUGUGCAGUUACUCCUCUCAUAGGGCAUAUCUACAAUCUAAGCUCUUCAUCCAUAGUGCGUGGGAUUAGCUUGGAAUAAUGCGAUGCUUCACCACUCUCUUCCUCAGGCCGUUGCAGUCACUCCUUGCGUAAGGGACAUGCAUGCAUCAAGAUCCAAGAAAAAUAUCCUACGGCGC